UACGUAGGGUGCGAGCGUUGUCCGGAAUUAUUGGGCGUAAAGGGCUCGUAGUCGGUUUGUCGCGUCGGGAGUGAAAACACCGGGCUUAACUCGGUGCUUGCUUUCGAUACGGGCAGACUAGAGGCAUGCAGGGGAGAACGGAAUUCCUGGUGUAGCGGUGAAAUGCGCAGAUAUCAGGAGGAACACCGGUGGCGAAGGCGGUUCUCUGGGCAUGUCCUGACGCUGAGGAGCGAAAGUGUGGGGAGCGAACAGG
rnacentral:rRNA from 1 species